ACCAUCUUUCCACUUCACCCACUUAGUAAAACAUUCAUUUUGAGAAUACAUGUUCCAGGCAGCUCCUCUGCCUCCCAGGAAGAAUAUUUUGAGGUCUCCCAGUGACCAGGGGAUAAAGAGACUUGACAAGAGAGCCCUAGAAUGCCUGAGGAGCUAGUCCUUUGAAAGAGUCAUUGUUAUGGAAUCUCCCUUUGAAAGAGACCACUUUAUCUUGCUUCUAAGCAUCUAUAGGACAGACAGCAUGUUCUGAAAAGAAAUUCAGGGUAGUGUUAAAGGUAAUCUAGUAUGGAUAGUGUGUAAUUGGAAGAAGGAUAGUUCCAUUUUUAUGGUUGCCAUAACAAUCAUACAGUUGUACAAAAAAUGUGCAUAGCUUUUAUAGAAGCGAGAUGGCAACAUUGUGAUGAUUCUUCUCAUAUCAGAACAACUGUUUUCAGAUCUGAAAAAUAGUGUAGCUUAACCCUUCCCCAGUUAGCACAGCAUGUUCCCUGAGAACCUUCCAAGUUCCUGGCUGUUGAAAUGCAUUCACACUUGUAUUUGCAUCUAAGCCUGAUAAAUGGAUUGACAAUUAAGGAUGAUGAUCCUUUCAACAGCAAGUUCUGAACUCCUGAUUUGAGAAUUCAAAGGAUUGAGGGGGCGGGGAUAUAUAUAUUUCUCUAUUUGAGGAUAGAGAUGUCUAGACGUAGUUAAUUCCUUGACUUUGUUAAUAUUCUGUCCACUAGAAUUUAAAUUCAUUAUUCCAUUGUGUUUAGUCUCAAAAACAAAAAGUUCAUACUAAGAUUUGGUUACAAUUUCCAUUUUAUUUUUACGUGUUGACUAUGUUGCUUCUGGAACUUGUGAAUUGAAUUUGUGUAGUAUAUUUAAGUUAAAAUAUAUCUAUCCAUACACUACUUUUCAAAAAUCUAUUCUACCCGCCUCCAUUUUUGUAUUAAAUAUAGCCUCUCUUAAGGACAAAUGCUUGGAAUUUGACUCUUUUAGACAUACAAAUAAAUAUCCCAUUUGAUGAAAUUUGAUAUAAAAAAUUUAUGAGCUUACAAGUUCAGUGUAAAGCUGUCAAAUUUGGAGUUGUACAUAAGAUGAAGUUCCUUUCAAUAUAUGUAUGUAUGUAUGUGCAUGUGUAUGUACAUUAAUAUGUUUUUGAGACAAGAUAUCACUAUGUAGCCCUGGCUGGCCUACAACUUUCUAUGUAGACUAGUCUGUCCUCUAACCUACAGAAAUCUGCCUACCUCUGCCUACUUCUGUUUCUAGUGCUGAUACUAAAGGCAUGCACCACCCUGUACAGCAAGAUAUUUAUUCUUAAGUAUUGUAACAGGGGUUCAUUUGAAACUGGCCUUUUGUCUUCCCCAACCCCCAUCUUUUUGUUUUCUGUUCUUUUUCUGCUGGAUGAAACCCUUCCACAGAUUUCAUUCACCUACCAUAGCAAUACACUCUGAUCUUUCUUUGGAUCUUACCUGAACCUGGACAGAUCUUACCACUCUAUAACCCAUUUCUCCAAACCACCCUCUUCUGUGCCCUCCACUCAACAGGAAACAGCCAUAACAGAGACUUUACCCUGCUUACCAGGACAGUGGAGUGAAGGAUUGACCCUGGGGUGGAGGUGACAGUACAGAUGAAGAUGGUACAGCUGAAUGUUCAAAAUACACACUUAGCCUGUGAACUUGCAAUGGAAGAACAUUGACAGACACGUUGCAUCUCUCCACAGUGACAGAAUUUAUGAAAUAGCAACAAAUUCACAAACUGUAGCCAAGCGAUCCUGAUUUUUCUUAAUAGCCAGCUGAGGAAAACCAGAUAUUUUUGGUUUUUAGAUUUGUUCAUUUUUAACCCCAAUCUUAAUUAGUAAUAUUAACUAUAAGAUCACUCAGUAACUGAGUCUAUAUCUACAUACCUAUUUACCUAUUUUUAUCAGUUAAUAUUCUCAAAGUCCAUCUUAAAGUAACCACAGUCUAACAUUUUAAGUCUGGAUUAUAGGGAAAGUACUACCAGAGUAAAAGAGAAAGAAACAAGCUAAGCGGUGGUGGCACACACCUUUAAUUCCAGCACUCAGGAGGCAGAAUAAGGCAGAGAUCUCUGAGUUCCAGGCCAGCCUGUUCUGCAGAGUGGGUUCCAGGACAGCCAGGGCUACAUAGAGAAACUCUGUCUCCAAAAAAACAAAAACGAGGGAGAAAAAGAAACAGUUGUACAGAGAGCUUGGGAUAAAAAGACUUUCUGGGCCUAGGGGAAUCAUCCACCAUCCUCACUCCCAUUGGCACAUAUAUACAUACUAUUUUCAGAACAUUGAAAAGCCCAGCUCUUAGGUCAUCUGAAACAGGACGUGUGCAAAGACAAAGCUAGCUGUCUUUGCCCUGUCUGUAAGAAGCUCCCUUGGUUGAGUAAGUUUAGUGUCCUAAGAAAAAUUCUGGUGAUGCACACCUUUAAUCCCAGCACUUGGGAGGCAGAGGCAGGCAGAUUUCUGAGUUCAAGGCCAGCCUGGUCUACAGAGUGAGUUCCAGGAUAGCCGGAGCUACACAGAGAAACCCUGUCUCAAAAAAACAAAACAAAAAACAAAAACAAAAACAAGAAGAAGAAAGAAGAAGAAAGAAGAAAGAAGGAAGAAGAAGAAGAAGGAAGAAGAAGAAGAAGAAGAAGAAGAAGAAGAAGAAGAAGAAGAAGAAGAAGAAGAAGAAGAAGA
rnacentral:lncRNA from 1 species